GACGAACGCUGGCGGCGUGCUUAACACAUGCAAGUCGAGCGGUAAGGCCCUUUCGGGGGUACGACGAGCGGCGAACGGGUGAGUAACACGUGGGUGACCUGCCCUCAGCUCUGGGAUAAGCCUGGGAAACCGGGUCUAAUACUGGAUAUGACUCCAUGACGCAUGUUGUGGGGUGGAAAGCCUUGUGCGGCUGAGGAUGGGCCCGCGGCCUAUCAGCUUGUUGGNGGGGUGAGGCCUACCAAGGCGACGACGGGUAGCCGGCCUGAGAGGGCGACCGGCCACACUGGGACUGAGACACGGCCCAGACUCCUACGGGAGGCAGCAGUGGGGAAUCUUGCGCAAUGGGCGAAAGCCUGACGCAGCGACGCCGCGUGA
rnacentral:rRNA from 1 species